GGGAAAGUGACUCAGUAGUAGAGCGCUUGCCUUGCAUGCAUGAGGCCCUAAGUUCGAUUCUCAGCACCA
rnacentral:tRNA from 1 species